GUAAACUAAAUAAGAACACGUGUCGAUUGCUUAGGAGUCCUUGGAUGAUUUUUCCCGCUAAACCAUUAACCUAAAAUAAUAUCCCUAGGGUAAAAUAACCCGACUCGGAAGAUAGGUUUAAUCAAACAAAUCCCACUUCGCGUUUACACUAUCCUCCCAUUCUAAACAAACCCUAAUGACGACGACGUUCAUAUGAUCCAACCGGUCGAUGUAUAAUCGAUUGUUGGAAGAAAUUGAUUGCCUCAUGUAGAAGAUCGAAUGGAUGGAUGAAAACUUUUUUUCUCAAAACACGCGUAUCCUAAAUCUCAAUCUGCUCACCAAUCUAAUCUCUUCUCCUCACUCUCCGUUCACUCAACGAUCCGUCAACAUUCACACACACAACCUAACGGAAACUAUCACACAAUAGGAGGAAAAAUCUUGAACAACGACAACAAGCAAAUUGUGCGCUAUGGUGGAAGAGAUAAGAGAUGAGUUCCGAAGUGGAUUCGUUGAGCAGAGUCGCCGAGUUGGAAAUAUUAUUCGGUGACACUUCUAUGUCAACGGCGUUGCUAGAGGGGAAGUCUUCCUCCAGAGGAGUUCUAUAGGCAAAGUUUUGUGAUAGCAAAAGCAUCAGAAGUAGGUAGGUUCUGGGAACGAAAUGUGAAAGAUCCUAGCCGUAGCAGUAUUAAGUGUUUUGUUGAACCGCUCACUAACAAUUGGACAUUUAUAAAGUCAUUUGGAUCAUGUGAUAUGUGAUAUGGUAUACCUUGGUUUUUCUUAUAGCCAAAUGGGAGACUGAUACUUAGUCAUAUAAUUAACGGACAACCAUCAUACUCAUAGUUUCUACUAUUAUGUAGGUUCUGGUUGAUUCAUAACUUGUGAAAUCUAAUGCUUUGUAUGCUUGGCUUUGUGAUGUACAUAUUAGAGCUAAAAGCUUUAACUGAAUAGGAAACCACUUGAAAGUCUCUAUAAGAGGAGUAAACCUAGCUGUCGUAUAAGAGGAGUACACCUGGCUGGCUUAACAUAUGAUCUUUGGAUGUAAGAAUAUAG
rnacentral:lncRNA from 1 species